rnacentral:rRNA from 1 species
CUGUGUGUUGUUGGGUAGGGGAGCGUUCUGUAAGCCUGUGAAGGUGUGUCGUGAGGCAUGCUGGAGGUAUCAGAAGUGCGAAUGCUGACAUAAGUAACGAUAAAGCGGGUGAAAAGCCCGCUCGCCGGAAGACCAAGGGUUCCUGUCCAACGUUAAUCGGGGCAGGGUGAGUCGACCCCUAAGGCGAGGCCGAAAGGCGUAGUCGAUGGGAAACGGGUUAAUAUUCCCGUACUUGGUGUUACUGCGAAGGGGGGACGGAGAAGGCUAUGUUGGCCGGGCGACGGUUGUCCCGGUUUAAGCGUGUAGGUGUGUGUUCCAGGUAAAUCCGGUUCACUUUAACACUGAGGCGUGACGACGAGGCACUACGGUGCUGAAGCAACAAAUGCCCUGCUUCCAGGAAAAGCCUCUAAGCAUCAGGUAACAUCAAAUCGUACCCCAAACCGACACAGGUGGUCAGGUAGAGAAUACCAAGGCGCUUGAGAGAACUCGGGUGAAGGAACUAGGCAAAAU